GGGCUUCAUUGUUGAAGUAGGAAGACAUCAGGUAUAUGAUACAGUUGCUAAGACACUGAGCCCCUGCAUUUUCUCCAAAUUUACAAUCUGCCUGAUUGGUUGAGGCUGUACCUUCGAUGCGAAACCCAGCCAAAGAAGCAGGCAGGGCCAUUAUGAUAGCAGUUUUAUUAUGUCAUGAAUUUUUACAAUAGUGUAGGGGCACUCUGCGUGCUCGGCGGUGUAGGUUUGUUGUGUAAAUAUUUGCCAGUUAACAUCCAGGGGUAUUCUGUCAUAAGUGCUGGAAUAUUUUUUCAGUUGGGGUGGAUGUUUCUCACCACGGGCAGCGUUUUGGCUAAAAAUCUGGGGGUAGGUAGAAUAUAGCAUGGUUAGGUCUUCAUCUGUGGGGUUUCCCCCAGCCUGGGUCAUUGACGUGUCUGUGGGUGGAGCCAUCAGAUUUACUGGAAUUUCUUUAAGAUUUUUGAUAAUUUCCACAUUUCCAGCCGAUGCCGCCUUUAAGAUUGUGGGGGUAAUGAUUUCCUGGGAAAACAGGUCAUGAAACCUUUUUCUUAAGCAACUUGAACAUCCUUUCGAGAGAAGGGAUAGUCCAGAGCUAAUUCUGGAGAGUAUGCCACUGAAGGACUGUUUGAGUUGGUUCCAAGGUUCGGUGUCAAAUUCUAUCCCCAACUCAUGCUGUUUAUAUGCCUCUAGGUCUUGAAGAAGUGAGAGCACCGUGCUGUAUUCCCCCCUGAGUUCACCCUCCAGAUCUGUUAUCUCCAUCAGGAGCUGACUGUGAUCCUUUUCCACCUGGCUAAUCAGACUCUUGAGGGUCUCCAAGUGAACUUCCAGAAUCUGUCCACUGGAGGACAGUAUGGUGAAUUGAUGGGUUAGGGGGUGAUAGUUAUAUUUGGUGUGACAUAAAAUUGAGCCCAGACGUAAGAUGUUUCUGCCCCUCAACAAAAGGUGUUCGACCUUGGGGAUGAUGGCCGUGAUAUAAUCUACAGAAUUGAUAUAGGAUGCGCCAGUGUCUAGUACAAAUAAGUAGAGGAUUAGAUCCUGGGGUAUAGAAAAUGUCUGGUUAAUUUUGUUGAUCUUUUUCUUUAGAUCCAGGGCAUGGUCCAAGAGAUUCUUCAUGGCAGAAGGUUUAUUGGUCCCGUUGAUGAUGUCGAGCAGCUCAAAGUAGAACAUGCCCAGCGGUCUGCGGAUCUCCUGCAGCUGGGGCGUGUCGGUGAUAGCGAAGCUCAGCAGCCAUCUUAUUUGGAAGAGGGCCCGGUUUCUUGACGUCUUUCUGGAAAAUAUCCCCUGUAUGGUGGGACCAACGAUGUGUCUGAUGAAGUACUUGUAAAACAUUUUAUGGGAGACCAUGGCAGGCUCGUAGGAUAAGUCCCCGACAGGCAUUCUUUUACAGUAGGCCGCGACCCUCUCUUCGGAAACCUGGUGCUCGCAAGAGGGUUCCAUCAGUGGAUUCUGGGUGAUGAGGACAAUGCCCCAAUUCCUGUUUACCCAUGAAAAAAAUAAAGUUCUCAUGAUAUCUGA
rnacentral:lncRNA from 1 species